rnacentral:lncRNA from 10 species
UUUCAUCUUGAAUUAUAGUUUCCUUAAUCCCCACAUGUCAUGGGAGGUACCUGGUGGGAGAUAAUUGAAUCAUGGGGGUGGUUACUCCCAUGCUGCUGUUCUCAUGAUAGUGAGUUUUCACAAGAUCUGAUGGUUUUAUAAGGGGCUCCCCUGCCUUUACUUGACACUUCUCUCUCCUGCCACCAUGUGAGGAAGGAUGCAUUUGCUUCCUCUUCUACCAUGAUUGCUUAUAGGUGGAAGGGACUUCCCUUGUCUCAGAUGAGACUUUUGACUUGAACUUUGGGUUAAUGCUAGAAUGAGAUGAGUAAAGAGAGGUACAGAGAGAUUAAAUAACUUGCCUAAAGUUGCAUAGUUAUGAAGUGGGUGAGCCAGGACUCAAUGCCAAAGCAGUCUGUGUCCAGACUCUUCCUAAUUUAAUAUACUGGCAAAGGUCAGAAAAUAGAAAACACUGAACCACGAAUUAGUUAUCCAAGAAACCUGCAGAGAGAAUGAAGCAUUCUACUGCCAGAAGGGAUUUCACAAGGAUCUAUGCUUAUUAGAGUAACCGUCAUUAUUUUUAACCCAGCAUUAUGUAGUCACAAUAUAGUAAGUGUUAGUUAUGCAAACAAAACACCAUUUCAUGAUAGGAAAUAAAUGUGUGUUUUAGAAUUUCAAAGCUCAAGGAAAAAUGUACCCUUUAUCCAAUCAAUAAACUGUAGUAACCUAGAGAGUUCUGAUACCCCAGUCCAAUUUUUUUUUCAUUCUUCAGGAAAUGGCCACAAAAAUGAAGCAAAAUUAGUAUUCGAGAACAACAGGAUGUCAUGUUUUGAGAAAAAUUUGUUUUAUAUUUAUAAUAAAGAGAUAAAUUAUUCUUAAAAGGUAUAUAAGGUUACAGAGGUAAAUUAUGGUUUAAAGAUAUAUAAGAAAUCCAAGCAACUAUUUCCAGAUCCAGUGAAUUUCAAUCUUUGUCAGGAACUAAAUUACAUGUUAUUGUUGGUGGGUGAGAAUGUUUAAAAGGGUGGGCACUUAUGAAUUGGGAUAUAUCCUUAAUUCCACAAAUCUUUAAAACUACACUAAAUGUCUUUUAAUUUCUCUUUCAAGAAGGCAAUUCACUGUUAUCAUCAUAAUGGCAUUAACUGUCAUUGUUACAGAAAAUGAUCUAGAUACAUGCUGAUCAUUGACUUUACAUUAAAUAUUUCUUAUUAAUUACUAAUAUUCACUUGCCAUACAGUUCAAAAACCAUGAGUCAGAAUGAUUGAAUAUCUAUUCUAAUUUCCCUGCUUUUAAGAAUUGUGAUCAUGCUUUAGCUACUUAACCUCUCUAAACUUCAAGAUUGAUCAUCUGAAAUACAGGGAUAACCAUUUUUAUCUCUGAGUUACAGAAAAGAUCAAUAGAAAAAAAUCUGUAAAGCAACUUGUAAAGUACUGUGUCUGUCACAUAAUAGGUGCUUAAUAAACAUACUGGUUUCUGUUUUCUUUAUCAAAUUUAACACAGAUAUAUGAUGUUAAGCCAAAAAAAGGUAAUAACAUGUUUCAAAGUGUGCACUUUAUAUGAUUGAUUUUUUAAGACACCAGAACAAAGAUAAUUGUAAAUUAUUAUUUUCAAAGCAUCAAAUACAAUGUCAC